UGGUUCUGGCAUCGAUGAAGAACGCAGCGAAAUGCGAUAAGUAAUGUGAAUUGCAGAAUUUAGUGAAUCAUCGAAUCUUUGAACGCACAUUGCGCCCUUUGGUAUUCCGAAGGGCACAUCUGUUCGAGCGUCAUUACAACUCUCAAGUUUAUCUUGGAAUUGAAUGUGCUGACCUGCACAUUUCAAAGACGUUAGCAACACGAUUUGAAUCUCAAACGUAAUUAAAUCAAUAAGUUUGUAAGACGAUAGUCGAGUUUGCUCUAUUAUGAUAUUUUCUAGUUUGACCUCGAAUCAGAUGGGGAUACCCGCUGA
rnacentral:misc_RNA from 1 species